GAUGAACGCUGGCGGCGUGCCUAAUACAUGCGAGUCGAGCGAACGGACGAGAAGCUUGCUUCUCUGAUGUUAGCGGCGGACGGGUGAGUAACACGUGGAUAACCUACCUAUAAGACUGGGAUAACUUCGGGAAACCGGAGCUAAUACCGGAUGAUAUUUUGAACCGCAUGGUUCAAAAGUGAAAGACGGUCUUGCUGUCACUUAUAGAUGGAUCCGCGCUGCAUUAGCUAGUUGGUAAGGUAACGGCUUACCAAGGCAACGAUGCAUAGCCGACCGGAGAGGGGGAUAGCCCACACGGGAGCGGGGACAGGGUCCAGAGUACUAAGGGAGGCAGCAGUAGGGAAUGUUACGCAAUGGGCGAAAGCCUGACGGAGCAGCGCCGCGUGAGUGAUGAAGGUCUUCGGAGCGUAAAACUCUGUUAUUAGGGAAGAACAGAUGUGUAAGUAACUGUGCACAGCGUGACGGUACCUAAUCAGAAAGCAACGGCUAACUACGUG
rnacentral:rRNA from 1 species